rnacentral:SRP_RNA from 1 species
GGUCGGGUCCUGCGCGAUCGCAGUCCGUGAACCGAGUCAGGGCCGGGAGGCAGCAGCUCUCAGCGGAGCCUGCGAUGUGCCUCAGGUCGCCUGGCCGCC